rnacentral:rRNA from 1 species
UACAGAGGUCCCGAGCGUUGUUCGGAUUCACUGGGCGUAAAGGGUGCGUAGGUGGCGAGGUAAGUCGGAUGUGAAAGCUCGGAGCUCAACUCCGAAAUGGCAUUGGAAACUACCUUGCUCGAGGGUUGGAGGGGGGACUGGAAUGCUUGGUGUAGCAGUGAAAUGCGUAGAUAUCGAGAGGAACACCAGUGGCGAAGGCGAGUCCCUGGACAACACCUGACACUGAGGCACGAAAGCUAGGGGAGCAAACAGG